GCGUGAAUCUGCCGGGACCAUCCGGUAAGGCUAAAUACUCCCGAGAGACCGAUAGCGAACCAGUACCGUGAGGGAAAGGUGAAAAGCACUUCGAACAGAAGAGUGAAAUAGUUCCUGAAACCGUGCGCCUACAAGCGGUCGGAGCUCGUUAAUGAGUGACGGCGUGCCUUUUGCAUAAUGAACCUACGAGUUGCCUUUGCCGGCAAGGUUAAGUGUGACGACACACGUAUCCGAAGCGAAAGCGAGUCUGAAUAGGGCGUAUAGUCGGCAGUGGCAGACGCGAAACCAAGUGAUCUACCCUUGGCCAGGUUGAAGGCUGGGUAACACCAGCUGGAGGACCGCACCAAUAAGCGUUGAAAAGCUUCUGGAUGAGCUGAGGGUAGGGGUGAAAGGCUAAUCAAACUUGGAGAUAGCUCGUACUCCCCGAAAUGCAUUUAGGUGCAGCCUUGCGGGUUACUGAUGUGAGGUAGAGCGACUGAUAAGAUGCGAGGGCUUCACCGCCUAUCAAGUCUUGACAAACUCCGAAUGCGCAUCAGUUCUACCGCAGGAGUGAGGGCAUGGGUGCUAAGGUCCGUGCCCGAGAGGAGAAGAAUCCGGACCACCUGCUAAGGUCCCGAAAUAACAGCUAAGUUAAACUAACGAAGUCAGAUUGCUAAGACAGCUAGGAUGUUGGCUUGGAAGCAGCCAUUCAUUUAAAGAGUGCGUAACAGCUCACUAGUCGAGGAGUCGGGCGUGGAUAAUAAUCGGGUAUUAAGUUGUCUACCGAAGCAGUGGGAUCAUUUAUAUGAUCGGUAGGGGAGCAUUCCAGUCAGCGUCGAAGGCGUACCGUGAGGUAUUCUGGAGCGUCUGGAAAAGCAAAUGUAGGUAUAAGUAACGAUAAAGGGGGCGGGAAACCCCCUCGCCGAAAGACUAAGGUUUCCUGAUCAACGCUAAUCGGAUCAGGGUCAGUCGGGUCCUAAGGCUCAGCCGAACGGCGAUGCCGAUGGCAGAAACGGUUAAUAUUCCGUUACUACCUUCAGGAGUGACGUGGAGACGCAGUAGUGACAGUGCCGCCAUCUGACGGAAUAGAUGGUUGAAGGGUGUAGGAGUCGAUCAUGGCAGGCAAAUCCACCAUGAGAUCCGAACCUGAUAGUAUGCCGCGUCCUUCGGGACAAGGCAAUAGUGCGCGUAAGCAUGCUGCCGAGAAAAUCCGCUAAACUUAAUCCUGGAGGUACCCGUACCGCAAACGGACACACGUAGUCGGGAUGAAUAUUCUAAGGCGCUUGAGUGAUUCACGGUUAAGGAACUAGGCAAACUGACCCUGUAACUUCGGGAUAAAGGGUCCUCAUCAGUGAUGGUGAGGCGCAGAGAAUCGGUCCAGGCAACUGUUUAACAAAAACACAGGGCUGUGCAAAAUAGAAAUAUGAAGUAUACAGCCUGACACCUGCCCGGUGCUGGAAGGUUAAGAGGAGAUGUCAUCGCAAGAGAAGCAUUGAAUUGAAGCCCCAGUAAACGGCGGCCGUAACUAUAACGGUCCUAAGGUAGCGAAAUUCCUUGUCGGGUAAGUUCCGACCUGCACGAAUGGUGUAAUGAUCUGGACGCUGUCUCAACCGUGAGCUCAGUGAAAUUGUAGUAUCGGUGAAGAUGCCGAUUACCCGCGAUGGGACGAAAAGACCCCGUGAACCUUUACUAUAGCUUAACAUUGAAUUUGGGUAAUUGAUGUGUAGGAUAGGCCGGAGGCUUCGAAGCAUGUACGCCAGUAUUUGUGGAGCCGCUGUUGAAAUACGGCCCUUUGAUUAUUUGAGUUCUAACUCGCCGUUGCGAGGACACUGUUUGGUGGGUAGUUUGACUGGGGUGGUCGCCUCCAAAAGCGUAACGGAGGCUUCUAAAGGUGCCCUCAGACCGAUUGGUAACCGGUCGCAGAGUGUAAUGGCAUAAGGGCGCUUGACUGGGAGACAUACAAGUCGAUCAGGUAGGAAACUAGAGCAUAGUGAUCCGGUGGUUCCGCAUGGAAGGGCCAUCGCUCAAAGGAUAAAAGGUACUCCGGGGAUAACAGGCUGAUCAUUCCCAAGAGCUCAUAUCGACGGAAUGGUUUGGCACCUCGAUGUCGGCUCGUCACAUCCUGGGGCUGGAGAAGGUCCCAAGGGUUGGGCUGUUCGCCCAUUAAAGUGGCACGCGAGCUGGGUUCAGAACGUCGUGAGACAGUUCGGUCUCUAUCUAUCGUGGGCGCAGGAGAUUUGAGGGGCUCUGACACUAGUACGAGAGGACCGUGUCGGACGUACCACUGGUUUACCGGUUGUCCCGCCAGGGGCACCGCCGGGUAUCUAAGUACGGAUCGGAUAAGUGCUGAAAGCAUCUAAGUACGAAGCCGGCCUCAAGAUUAGAUCUCCCUCAAGGGUGGUUAUAGACGAUGACCUUGA
rnacentral:rRNA from 1 species